rnacentral:rRNA from 1 species
GCUAAUACCGCAUAAUGUCGCAAGACCAAAGUGGGGGACCUUCGGGCCUCAUGCCAUCAGAUGUGCCCAGAUGGGAUUAGCUAGUAGGUGGGGUAACGGCUCACCUANGCGACGAUCCCUAGCUGGUCUGAGAGGAUGACCAGCCACACUGGAACUGAGACACGGUCCAGACUCCUACGGGAGGCAGCAGUGGGGAAUAUUGCACAAUGGGCGCAAGCCUGAUGCAGCCAUGCCGCGUGUGUGAAGAAGGCCUUCGGGUUGUAAAGCACUUUCAGCGG